rnacentral:lncRNA from 1 species
UUCUUUGGAUUACUUGAAAACAUUAUGCCGUGGAUACAACACGAAGAUUUGGAUGGCAGUUCCCAUUGAUCCUGCUUGCAGCUUCUUUCCUGUUUCACACCUUCCAUGUAACCCACUUGAAACUGCACGUGUAUUGAAUAGAGCAGAUGGAAACAGCAGCAAAGUACAGAAUGGAAAGAGAGAGGCUAGCUUCUUCCUUCUGCAUUACCAUUAUGAUGAGAAGGAUAUAAGGUGAAUUUAAAGAGCUACUCCUGCUCUUCACAGCCUUUCUGGUAAAAGGUUCCAGCAAAAGGGCAUAUGUGGAAUAACAACUCAGUAGAGACCAACCAACUGAAAAAGAAGGUGGGUUGUUAUUACAACAAUUCUAUAGCAUAUUGAUAAUGACUUGGUGUGUUUGAAGUUUACCAUUAGACACAGUACAAGAAAAUUUAUUAUCUUUAGCUGUUAUAUAAGGACUCAGUACAUCACUAAGUUGUUCUUUGCAAAAUUAGUUUUAAAAGAGCAAGUGGAGCAUGAUUUUUAUAUAACACUUAAUAGAUCUGGUGCAAAAAUAGAUAUACUGGCUUUUUCAUAUUUAGGUUUGACAGUAAGCAGUACAAUAAAACAUACAGUACUUUUUUUAAGGUUCUUUGC